ACUGAAAGGCUGCUGUGAAGGCUCGUGUUUGAUAAAUGAUUCUGCUGCACGCCUUUCAUU
ensembl:miRNA